UACGUAGGGUGCAAGCGUUGUCCGGAAUUAUUGGGCGUAAAGAGCUCGUAGGCGGUUUGUCGCGUCUGCCGUGAAAGUCCGGGGCUCGACUCCGGAUCUGCGGUGGGUACGGGCAGACUAGAGUGAUGUAGGGGGAGACUGGAAUUCCUGGUGUAGCGGUGAAAUGCGCAGAUAUCAGGAGGAACACCGAUGGCGAAGGCAGGUCUCUGGGCAUUAACUGACGCUGAGGAGCGAAAGCAUGGGGAGCGAACAGG
rnacentral:rRNA from 1 species